rnacentral:sRNA from 1 species
GUUGGGCAUGGUGGUGCACGCCUGUAAUCCCAGCAGCUCGGGAGACUGAGGCAGGAGGAUCACGAGUUCAAAGCCAGCCUCAGCAAUGGUGAGGCACUGAGCAACUCAGUGAGACCCUGUCUCUA